UACGAGGGGGGCAAGCGUUGUUCGGAAUUAUUGGGCGUAAAGGGUGCGUAGGCGGUUUGACAAGUCUGAUGUGAAAUCUAUGGGCUCAACCCAUAGUCUGCAUCGGAAACUGUCGGGCUGGAGUAUGGGAGAGGUGAGUGGAAUUCCCAGUGUAGCGGUGAAAUGCGUAGAUAUUGGGAGGAACACCAGUGGCGAAGGCGGCUCACUGGACCGGUACUGACGCUGAUGCGCGAAAGCGUGGGGAGCAAACGGG
rnacentral:rRNA from 1 species